UCAGGAUGAACGCUGGCGGCGUGCUUAACACAUGCAAGUCGAACGAAGCUAAGGAGCUUGCUCCCAAAGCUUAGUGGCGGACGGGUGAGUAACGCGUGGGUAACCUGCCCUAUAGAGGGGGAUAACGUUCGGAAACGAACGCUAAUACCGCAUAAACCAUAAGGAGCUGCAUGGCUCUGAUGGCAAAGAUUUAUCGCUAUAGGAUGGACCUGCGUUGGAUUAGCUAGUUGGUGAGAUAACAGCUCACCAAGGCGACGAUCCAUAGCCGGCCUGAGAGGGUGAACGGCCACAUUGGGACUGAGACACGGCCCAAACUCCUACGGGAGGCAGCAGUGGGGAAUAUUGCACAAUGGGCGCAAGCCUGAUGCAGCGACGCCGCGUGAAGGAAGAAGGUCUUCGGAUUGUAAACUUCUAUCAGCAGGGAAGAAUAAAUGACGGUACCUGACUAAGAAGCCCCGGCUAACUACGUGCCAGCCGCCGC
rnacentral:rRNA from 1 species